rnacentral:rRNA from 1 species
UCGCUGGCCUCGCUCGCGCGAGGCAUGUGCACGCUUCGCGUUUUUCUGAUAACCAACCUGUGAACCUAAUGUAGGAUGCCUCUCCUCCGGGAGGGGGGACCUACGUCUUCUCAACAUCUUCGUGUAGAAAGUCUUUGAAUGUUUACUAUCAUCGAGUCGCGACUUCUAGGAGACGCGAUUCUUUGAGAUAAAAGUUAUUACAACUUUCAGCAACGGAUCUCUUGGCUCUCGCAUCGAUGAAGAACGCAGCGAAAAGCGAUAUGUAAUGUGAAUUGCAGAUCUACAGUGAAUCAUCGAAUCUUUGAACGCACCUUGCGCUCCUCGGUGUUCCGAGGAGCAUGCCUGUUUGAGUGUCAGUAAAUUCUCAACCCCUCUCGAUCUUCUUCGAAGAGGGCGCUUGGAUAGUGGAGGUUGCCGGAGACUCGGAUUCGUUCCGAGACUCGGGCUCUUCUGAAAUGCAUCGGCUUGCGGUCGACUUUCGACCAUGCGCGACAAGGCUUUCGGCGUGAUAAUGAUCGCCGUUCGCCGAAGCGCAUGACAGAAGGUUCCGCGCCUCUAACGCGUCGACCGCUUACUAUCUCUCCGGAGAGAACGGCGUCUUCCUAAUAGACUUUUGACCUCAAAUCAGGUAGGACUACCCGCUGAACUUAAGCAUAUCAAUAAGCGGAGGAAAAGAAACUAACAAGGAUUCCCCUAGUAACUGCGAGUGAAGAGGGAAAAGCUCAAAUUUUGAAUCUGGCGGUCUUUCGGCCGUCCGAGUUGUAAUCUAGAGAAGCGUUUUCCGCGCUGGANCGUGUAUAAGUUUCCUGGGAANNGAACGUCAUAGAGG